rnacentral:misc_RNA from 1 species
GAUGAAGAACGUAGCGAAAUGCGAUAAGUAAUGUGAAUUGCAAAAUUCAGUGAAUCAUCGAAUCUUUGAACGCACAUUGCGCCCGCCAGUAUUCUGGCGGGCAUGCCUGUCCGAGCGUCAUUUCAACCCUCGAACCCCUCCGGGGGGUCGGCGUUGGGGACCUCGGGAGCCCCUAAGACGGGAUCCCGGCCCCGAAAUACAGUGGCGGUCUCGCCGCAGCCUCUCCUGCGCAGUAGUUUGCACAACUCGCACCGGGAGCGCGGCGCGUCCACGUCCGUAAAACACCCAACUUCUGAAAUGUUGACCUCGGAUCAGGUAGGAAUACCCGCUGAACUUAAGCAUAUCAAUAAGCGGAGGA